UUCAGUACUUCCUGGACUGAACUAAAAUCUAAUUUCAUCCAAGUUUCAAGUUUUUGACUGCAAUUUCAAAAUCGCAACACAAGUAGGAAACAUCGCUGUAUUGAAACAUACAAAUGUAAAUCAAAAACGUUUCAUAAUACAUUUUAUCCGUGAAUAAUAUUUUUUACUUUGGAAUAUGAACUAAUAAUUACAAAAAAUAAUUACCUCAGUAUAAACAAAUAAGGGAUACAAUUAAGCCAUGUGGGAGGAGUCAAGUUAGCAGAUCAGCAACACACUGAUCUUUCAUUGGCUGAGCUGCAGUGGCGAAACUAAUGAAGUGCAAGAAAAAGGUUUGGGUCACUCUCUAGCGCAAGAUUGGCGAAAAGAUAGAUCCCCAUCUGUCAUACAACUCUCACUGUGCUUUGCCAACUGGGGAUCUACCGUUGGCCAAUCCUUGCAGGGUUGUAUUUGUGAGAAGCGUUUGUGCAUUUGAAUGUAAGUGUUUUUCUGUAUAGAGUAUGUGUGUGAAUAUAGGGGUGUAUUUGUAUGUACUAGUGCCAUUGGAAUGCAGUCAUGUACUUGUGUGUAGCGUUUGCGUUUGAUUCCAAGGGUGUGUUUGUAUGUAAUGUUAGCUUUUAAAUGUAGGUGUGCUUUUGUGUGUAGAUUUGGUGCUUGUAUAUCACUUUAGUGUUUCAAUACAGGGGCUGUGUUUGUAUAUAAUGAUUGCAUUUGCAUGCAGGGAUAUGUGGAUGUAGUGUUUUGUUUUUAAUUGUGUGUGGUGUUGGUGUUUGAGUGAAGGGGUGUGCUUGUAUAAUAUUUUGGAGUUUGCAUGUUGUGUUGGUGUUUGAUUGCUGGGAUGAUGCACAUACAUAAGUACAUAGAUAUACAUACACAUUAACAUACAGAUACACACAUUUAAACACACACAUAGACACAAAGAUACAUACACCUGUAAACAAGCAUACACUUUGAAAUAUACACACACCAUGACAGACAGGUACACACACUGACACAUAUACACACACACUGGCACAUACACACUCUGACACACAGAUCCACACUCUGGCAUAUAUACACACUCAGAUACACACAGUGAUCCAUACCUAAACACACAGAUGUACAAACACAGAUAUACACCUACUGGAACAUACACACAGAUACUCACAUACAUAUACACACAGAUAUACAAACCCUGGCACACACACAGAUACACAUUUUGACACAGAUAUAAACACACUGGAAUACACACACAGGUAUACACACUGAUACACACUAGCUCAC